CGCGGGGUUGCUCGGCGCCCCGAGGGCGUGGCUUGUGAGGCCGCGAAGGCGUGGGUCUUCGGGGGCGGCCGUGCGGCUCGGCUGCCCGUGG
rnacentral:tRNA from 1 species